rnacentral:rRNA from 1 species
AUACUCCUGACUGACCGAUAGUGAACCAGUACCGUGAGGGAAAGGCGAAAAGAACCCCGGCGAGGGGAGUGAAAAAGAACCUGAAACCGUGUACGUACAAGCAGUGGGAGCCUCUUUAUGGGGUGACUGCGUACCUUUUGUAUAAUGGGUCAGCGACUUAUAUUCUGUAGCAAGGUUAACCGAAUAGGGGAGCCGAAGGGAAACCGAGUCUUAACUGGGCGUUAAGUUGCAGGGUAUAGACCCGAAACCCGGUGAUCUAGCCAUGGGCAGGUUGAAGGUUGGGUAACACUAACUGGAGGACCGAACCGACUAAUGUUGAAAAAUUAGCGGAUGACUUGUGGCUGGGGGUGAAAGGCCAAUCAAACCGGGAGAUAGCUGGUUCUCCCCGAAAGCUAUUUAGGUAGCGCCUCGUGAAUUCAUCUCCGGGGGUAGAGCACUGUUUCGGCAAGGGGGUCAUCCCGACUUACCAACCCGAUGCAAACUGCGAAUACCGGAGAAUGUUAUCACGGGAGACACACGGCGGGUGCUAACGUCCGUCGUGAAGAGGGAAACAACCCAGACCGCCAGCUAAGGUCCCAAAGUCAUGGUUAAGUGGGAAACGAUGUGGGAAGGCCCAGACAGCCAGGAUGUUGGCUUAGAAGCAGCCAUCAUUUAAAGAAAGCGUAAUAGCUCACUGGUCGAGUCGGCCUGCGCGGAAGAUGUAACGGGGCUAAACCAUGCACCGAAGCUGCGGCAGCGACGCUGAUGCGUUGUUGGGUAGGGGAGCGUUCUGUAAGCCUGUGAAGGUGUGCUGUGAGGCAUGCUGGAGGUAUCAGAAGUGCGAAUGCUGACAUAAGUAACGAUAAAGCGGGUGAAAAGCCCGCUCGCCGGAAGACCAAGGGUUCCUGUCCAACGUUAAUCGGGGCAGGGUGAGUCGACCCCUAAGGCGAGGCCGAAAGGCGUAGUCGAUGGGAAACAGGUUAAUAUUCCUGUACUUGGUGUUACUGCGAAGGGGGGACGGAGAAGGCUAUGUUGGCCGGGCGACGGUUGUCCCGGUUUAAGCGUGUAGGCUGGUUUUCCAGGCAAAUCCGGAAAAUCAAGGCUGAGGCGUGAUGACGAGGCACUACGGUGCUGAAGCAACAAAUGCCCUGCUUCCAGGAAAAGCCUCUAAGCAUCAGGUAACAUCAAAUCGUACCCCAAACCGACACAGGUGGUCAGGUAGAGAAUACCAAGGCGCUUGAGAGAACUCGGGUGAAGGAACUAGGCAAAAUGGUGCCGUAACUUCGGGAGAAGG